UGGGGAAUCUUGGACAAUGGGCGCAAGCCUGAUCCAGCCAUGCCGCGUGAGUGAAGAAGGCCUUAGGGUUGUAAAGCUCUUUUGCCAGGGACGAUAAUGACGGUACCCGGAGAAGAAGCCCCGGCUAACUUCGUGCCAGCAGCCGCGGUAAUACGAAGGGGGCUAGCGUUGCUCGGAAUUACUGGGCGUAAAGCGCGCGUAGGCGGCUUUGUAAGUUAGAGGUGAAAGCCCGGAGCUCAACUCCGGAACUGCCUUUAAGACUGCAUCGCUAGAAUUGUGGAGAGGUGAGUGGAAUUCCGAGUGUAGAGGUGAAAUUCGUAGAUAUUCGGAAGAACACCAGUGGCGAAGGCGACUCACUGGACACAUAUUGACGCUGAGGUGCGAAAGCGUGGGGAGCAAA
rnacentral:rRNA from 1 species